GGGCGAUUAGCUCAGCUGGUCAGAGCGCCUGCCUUACAAGCAGGAGGUCCCCCGUUCGAGCCGGGGAUCGCCCACCA
rnacentral:tRNA from 1 species